AACGAACGCUGGCGGCAUGCCUAACACAUGCAAGUCGAACGAAGGCUUCGGCCUUAGUGGCGCACGGGUGCGUAGCGCGUGGGAAUCUGCCCUGGGGUUCGGAAUAACUCAGAGAAAUUUGAGCUAAUACCGGAUGAUGUCGCAAGACCAAAGAUUUAUCGCCCAAGGAUGAGCCCGCGUAGGAUUAGCUUGUUGGUGAGGUAAAAGCUCACCAAGGCGACGAUCCUUAGCUGGUCUGAGAGGAUGAUCAGCCACACUGGGACUGAGACACGGCCCAGACUCCUACGGGAGGCAGCAGUGGGGAAUAUUGGACAAUGGGCGAAAGCCUGAUCCAGCAAUGCCGCGUGAGUGACGAAGGCCUUAGGGUUGUAAAGCUCUUUUACCCGGGAUGAUAAUGACAGUACCGGGAGAAUAAGCUCCGGCUAACUCCGUGCCAGCCGCCGCGGUAACAC
rnacentral:rRNA from 1 species